ACGAACGCUGGCGGCGUGCUUAACACGUGCACGUCGAACGGAAAGGCCCUGCUUUUGUGGGGUGCUCGAGUGGCGAACGGGUGAGUAACACGUGAGUAACCUGCCCUUGACUUUGGGAUAACUUCAGGAAACUGGGGCUAAUACCGGAUAGGAGCUCCUGCUGCAUGGUGGGGGUUGGAAAGUUUCGGCGGUUGGGGAUGGACUCGCGGCUUAUCAGCUUGUUGGUGGGGUAGUGGCUUACCAAGGCUUUGACGGGUAGCCGGCCUGAGAGGGUGACCGGCCACAUUGGGACUGAGAUACGGCCCAGACUCCUACGGGAGGCAGCAGUGGGGAAUAUUGCACAAUGGGCGGAAGCCUGAUGCAGCAACGCCGCGUGCGGGAUGACGGCCUUCGGGUUGUAAACCGCUUUCGCCUGUGACGAAGCGUGAGUGACGGUAAUGGGUAAAGAAGCACCGGCUAACUACGUG
rnacentral:rRNA from 1 species